CUCUACUCGAUGUAUUUCUUGAAAGUCAGGGGUUGAUUCAUAUCCGCGUUCAAGCGAGAAAAUCUGCAAUUCUAGCACAAAAACUGCUAAAAGUGCCAUCAUGAAGAUUAGUUUCUUUUUUCUUGAUCCACUCAUCUUUGUAAAAUGAGUGGUGCGGACUGCUAUUGAGAGAAUAUCAUGUCAUAUAUCUGCAUGCCAAUCUCCACGCUUUCAAACAAGAAAAAUAGCGAGAAAUUAAGCAAAAUCUAACAAAUAAAAUAAAUAAGUAUUGAAUAAAUAUAUUUAUCAACUCAUACGUUAAACGGUAUGAACCUGAGACUGGAUAGGUUAAAAGAACUCUUCCAUUUGCCGAUCUUUGGCAGAUUUCUGAAUUCAUUCCUUGACUCAGCAAGACAGGCGGACUGCAGAAGCUCGUAGAUUAUGCUUCAUCCUACAAAAUAAAAUAGAAUAAAAUGCAUUGACUAUGUUUGGAAUGAAAAAUAAAAUCUACAUUAAGCUCUUGCCAAGACGGACCGCAAAAGUCAAGCGAAUUUAACCCAGAGAAAAAUCAGUUCUGCUGUUAACUUUUUAAAUGGUAUUUGAUGUCUUUAUUAGAAAAUUCAUGUAUUUUGUUGAACGAUGCAGAUGAGAAGGAACUUUGAUAUUACAUGAUACUUUUAGUUAAUUCAUAUCCGCACUAAGGUCUAUGGCUUUAGGAUUUGUAGAUAUCAACAAAUCUGGCAAAGGGAGAAACAAGACAAGGUGGUGCACCAUAGAUAAAUAAAUAAGGUCGUGACCUUAAAUGUACCAUAAAUACUCAAGAGAGAUCAAACAUAAAUUUAAAAACAUCAAGAUGGACAGGAGUACUUUACAGGUGACGUCAAAAAUUAAGAUCCUUAAAAUCUAUCACGCCAACUUUACAGAACACCCCAUCUUGCGCCAAAUCCUAAUAAAUUACACGCUCAAUACGUCAUAAAUUCGUUGUAUUCAUUUGGGAUACUUUCUGAAAAAUAUUACAAAGAAACGAAACACAUCUAUACUCUGUCUUAAAUGUUAAGCAAAGGAUAACGGGGCAAUACCGAUCUAUGAAUUAAAAAUCGGAUCGAAAAUCUAAAGAGAUAAAUUAAAACUUGAAUUAAAAAAAAAUAACUCUUAAAAAAAGGUCUCUCUGAAAAUAAUAAAGAUAUUGUUAAAACACCAGUUCUAGACCCCUGAUGAACGUGAGACAUCUUAUGACGCAUCAAUGCCUGCAUCAAAAACCAUAAUGAACCCAAAUUCUUUGGGUAGCUGAAGGAUCGGAAGGAAGAACGCUUCUCUGAUGUUCUAAGCUGAUUAAAUCAUCGCCUUAAACUAGAAUAACAAAAGACUUCGUUCAUGCCAUUUAACGAUCAUAUCUUCAUGUCGAGGGCAGCAUAGUAAACUGAUGUCAACAAUUUUGAAUUAUAUUUUCCUUUUAAUUAUGUUUUUUUACACCCAUGAGUCACUUUGGUUCUUGACUUUAGUCGAGAAUUAAAUAUCCAAAAUAGAAACCUUCAUAAGACGAUAACGUUUUGAAGAUUAAAAGAAAUGAAGAAAAGGAAUGCUUCCAAGAAGAAAUAAAAGAUUGAGGCAAAUUCUUGUCGUAGAUUGAAUGCAAACACGUCAAUAAGCAAUUUGUGGAGAUGCUAGGACAAAGUGAGGGGUAAAUCCUAAUUAAAGCCACCAUAUAUGUGUUAGAUAGCCUGAAAGAUUUGCAGGUCCUGCCCCCACUCCAGUCAAGUAGAUUCUCAUGAUUAUUGAGCAAUCCUCAUCUAGCUUUUGGAAAGUGAGUAAGGGACAAAGCUAUUCAUUUUCUAAAAUACAUAAGCAAAAAACAAGUCAGUAGAAAACUAGGAUGAGAACUAGUAAAUCUAAGGAAAAUAUUAUGAAGCAUUGGUUGGAAUUUUAACAUACAGAUUAAAGGAAUCUUGCCCAAUCGACAGAUCUCGCUUGAAUGGAUAUCUCCUCAAGCAGAAUUUCAAGGUUUAGGCUAAAAAACCAAGUCAAACUGAUCUCCGGGCUUUCUCAGCUCAUUAGACCUCAUACUGGAGGGUAACUAUGAAUUCAUAUUAAAUAAUUAAUUUUCUUCACAGCAUGAUUGGCUACAAGUUGCCUCAGGAUGUUGCUGUCAGUAAGAUUCGUAAUCCACUAGUACUGCUUUUGUCUCAUUAUGAAGUUGUCUCUCGGACUGAACGCAGCGGAGGACCACCAACCUGAGCCAAGUCCGAACACGGUUCAGCCCGGGAUGCACAACUUCUGUACAGGUUGAAGCCCCAGACCAAGCGCAAUGUACUCGGCAGAGUCGGAUCUCAACGAAUUGACCAUCGU
rnacentral:lncRNA from 1 species